rnacentral:rRNA from 1 species
UCGGGAAUUUUGGGCAAUGGGCGAAAGCCUGACCCAGCAACGCCGCGUGAAGGAUGAAGUAUUUCGGUAUGUAAACUUCGAAAGAAUAGGAAGAAUAAAUGACGGUACUAUUUAUAAGGUCCGGCUAACUACGUGCCAGCAGCCGCGGUAAUACGUAGGGACCAAGCGUUGUUCGGAUUUACUGGGCGUAAAGGGCGCGUAGGCGGCAAUUCAAGUCAUCUGUGAAAUCUCCGGGCUUAACUCGGAACGGUCAGAUGAUACUGCUUUGCUAGAGUGCAGAAGGGGCAAUCGGAAUUCUUGGUGUAGCGGUGAAAUGCGUAGAUAUCAAGAGGAACACCUGAGGUGAAGACGGGUUGCUGGGCUGACACUGACGCUGAGGCGCGAAAGCUAGGGGAGCAAACGGGAUUAGAUACCCACGUAGUCCCUGAGCGGGCUGGCAAGGCGCAU